rnacentral:rRNA from 1 species
UAACGCGUGAGGAACCUGCCUUCCAGAGGGGGACAACAGUUGGAAACGACUGCUAAUACCGCAUGAUGCGUUGGAGCCGCAUGACUCUGACGCCAAAGAUUUAUCGCUGGAAGAUGGCCUCGCGUCUGAUUAGCUAGUUGGUGAGGUAACGGCCCACCAAGGCGACGAUCAGUAGCCGGACUGAGAGGUUGGCCGGCCACAUUGGGACUGAGAUACGGCCCAGACUCCUACGGAAGGCAGCAG